UAACAAAAUGUGUAGGUAUAUAAACAUAAAAACCCAAAAAUAAAAAUGUCCUUUUUUGGAUAAUACAUUUGAUUCUCAAUUUUCCUUUUUUAGAUUUUUUUUAGCGCUUUUUUACAUGAGUUAACAGUAAUGGAUCCUAAAAAAUAAAUUAAUAGACAUUGUGUAAAAAUAACAUUACUUAUUGAAAAAAUAUUUAUCCUCAGCGGAAGUGUUGACUAUAAUUCCUGAAGGACAUGCUCCACGAAUAUGAAUACUACCUCUAGUUUUCACGCUUCAUUUUUUAGUCUACUACAUCAAAUAAAAAUGAAAUGGAUUCUGUCGAUGUUGAUAUUCCGCGAAAACAUAACUUUCUGUUUCAAAAAUCAUUAAAAAAUGAACGAUGGUAAUGAUGUGGUACCGCAUCUUUCAGCUUGGUUGUUUUUUUGGUUAGGUUUUAUGUGGUUAAAAAUUGUGGAAUGGAAAAAGAAAAUGUUUAAAAAAGUAGAAAAUUUUUCUGGUGGUAUGUUAUGCCUUGUGAAAAAUCUUGCAUCGACGGUAAUCCCCUUUAUAAUGGGGGCUUAAAAGCAACCUUUAUGAAGUUACUCAUAUUUAAAAGAAUACAUUUAGGGGUGGUUUGCACAUGUAAAAUUGUCAAGAAUUUGAAAACUUCAUGAAGAAAUUAAAGUACAAAAUAAAUAAAUGUGAUACAUUUCUAAUGAAUCCGCAUAGAAUAAAGCAAGAAUCAAAAGGUGCUGGCAAUUGCAUUAGAUAUGGUACAUCCAGGAUGCAAGGUUGGAGGUUCGAAAUGGAAGACAUGCUGGUUGCAAUUCAUAGUCUCCCAAAGCCUUAUGAGGAUUGGUCAUAUUUUGCUCUUUUUGACGGUCACUUGGGAAAGAAGGCAGCGGCAUUUUGUGCCGAGAAUUUGUUGAGCAUAAUUUUGGCAUCGACAAGUUUUCCAAGGGACAUGAAAAAAGCUAUAUUUGAUAGCUUUUUAGAAAUUGAUUCUAAAAUAAGAGAUAUACUCGAUGUUGAGGAUGAAUGCGGCACUACAGCAGUUUGUGCCUUUAUUUCAAAAGAGAGGUUAUAUAUAGCCAAUUGUGGUGACUCAAGGGCUAUACUUUAUUCUGGAGGAGCUCCCGCGCUAAUCACAAAAGAUCAUAAACCCUAUACACCAAUAGAGAAAGCGAGAAUUAUUCAAGCUGGAGGAUAUAUAAAGAAAGGCAGAAUUGACGGUGACUUAUCAGUCAGUAGAACUCUAGGUGACUUCAAAUUCAAAGGGAAUAAGGAGAUAAGCACUACAGAACAAAAAAUUUGUGCUGAGCCAGAUGUUUUUGUAUGGAACCGAACUGAAAAAGAUGAAUUUUUGGUACUUGCCAGCGAUGGUAUAUGGAGACAUAUUAGAAAUACUGAAUUGUUUUUUUAUAUUCAGAGUAGACUAUUAGUUAGUUCUGAUUUGGAUCAGGUUGCAAGUCAAGUGAUUGAUACCUGCUUUUUUAAGAAGGAGCUAAUGAGAAGUGGCGUGUACAACUUAUCACAAGUUCACAUCUGUUUGAACCGGCCCGGUCUUAAACAGAAUGAGUGUUAUCCAGAUUGGGCAAUGAAUAUAGUCCAUUUUCAAAUAAUAUGAAAUGUCACUAACGACUAAUUGAAAGGAAACAAAAAAAUCGAAAUGAAUAUAGAUAGCGGGCAAAGCUCAUUGUUUAGUUAAACAUUUUGUAUUAAUAAAUUUAUUUUAAAAAACUAAAGAAGACCAAAAAUAUUAUUGUUAUAAAAACCUAAAAAAUCUUCCAACUUUAACACCCCAUAUUGUAUCGUUGAUGAAACGAACAUUUUGAAUUUUUCCGUAAUAUUUGUAGGGCAGUUUUGAUAAUAUGAGUGUUGUGUUAGUGGCAUUCGGAGCUUGUUCCGAAACGGCAAAUGAGGCUAUAAAAAAUGACAUGGAACUUGAUUUGACUUUAAGAAGGCGAAUCCAAGAUAUUUUGAAGGAGAAACCACU